rnacentral:misc_RNA from 1 species
GGAAGGAUCAUUGACACACGAUACCAAAAAACACAUGAUACGUUGCUGUUGUUGUUGCGCUGUGCUGCUGGCAGUUGCUGGGGGGGCCUCGUGCUCUCUCUCUUCUGCCGCAUGCAGGGCAACACCACACAAUAUAUACAAAACCUUUUUUGUGCCUCCCCAAACUUGUGUGCUCUCUCUCCUCACGGAGUCUGCGCGCCAGGUGGAAGAGUCAUAAAAUACAAAAAACAACAAAAAACAAAAAAAAUCUUAAAAACACCAAAAAAUAUUCAACGAUGGAUAUCUUGGUUCCCAUACCGAUGAAGAACGCAGCGAAAUGCGAUACGCAGUGCGAAUUGCAGAACGCGAGUCAUCAGAUCUUUGAACGCAAGUGGCGCCGGUUAGCAGCCGGCAUGUGGGGCUCAGUGUGUUUGGGAAAUCACAUAAGCGGAAUGUGGUUGAAGGGCGUGUGUGCUGCUGGUCUCGGCCGGCCGCAGACAAAUUCUUCUCCCAUUAAACGCAGCGGGUGCGCACAGCAGGAGUGCGAGUUUCACGACUCGCCCUUCGCCGCCGCCGCAGCGCACUCCUCCGGAAGUAGUCACUAGCAUCCUAGUGAUCUACGGAGCGGGAAAGCGAGCUUCUGGCGCGCACUCUUUGCAUUCUUUCUCCUCGUGGGAAAUUAAGCGAAGGGUUGUCUGUCACACCUAGCAAAAACAAAAUAACAAAUCCUCACACUACACCUGAGCUCCGCAAGAUCACCCGCUGAACUUAAGCAUAUCAGUAAGCGGAGGAAAAGAAACUAACAAGGAUUGCCCCAGUAGCGGCGAGUGAACAGGCAAAAGCUCAAAGUGGAAAUCCAGCGGCAUCAGGCCGUCGGAAUUGUAAUCUAGAGAGUCAAUGCGAAGGCAUGGAAUAACGUCGUGUGAGUUCCUUGGAAUAGGACGCCAAAGAGGGUGAUAGCCCCAUACGCAACGACGGCCGGCUGUAGCAAAGACCUCCAAGAGUCGGGUUGUUUGGGACUGCAGCCCUAAACGGGAGAUAAACUUCUUCUAAAGCUAAAUAUUUAUGGGAAACCGAUAGCGAACAAGUACUACGAAGGAAAGGUGAAAAGAACUUUGAAAAGAGGGUUAAAAGACUUGAAAUCGUUGAGUAGGAAGUGGUUGGAGGGUAGUCACUUGCUGCCGAGUCAUGUGCCGCGCUGGCUUCACCGGCCGCCGGUAGGGUGUUGCAGAAUCAUAACUGCCGCCCCGCCGGUCUGGUAACGGACGGCUGGCACGCUCUCGGUACGCAAAAGGCAGAGCGGGCUUUGGGAGAAGGCGUACGCCGUCUUCUGAAUCACGCGGGAGUAAGGGCUGCGCACCGGCUCACGCCAGCGCAGUCAGGCAAAACCGCGCCCAGGGCCGAGGGAAAUUAUUUACCGCUCCAGUAUGGAGGCUCUGCCAGACAAACUCACGACGUCUCCAACCGACCCGUCUUGAAACACGGACCAAGGAGUGUACCAAGCAUGCGAGUGAUAGGGUGGAAAAACCCGGCAUCGCGAAGAGAAAUCGAGUACAAGCAGCUCACAGUUUAUUCUUUCAGCUGCGGCCAACCGGAGGUCGUCGACCUCAGGCUUGAGCAAGAGCAUACUUGGUACGACCCGAAAGAUGGUGAACUACGCCUGAGUACGCCGAAGCCAGGGGAAACUCUGGUGGAAGGUGGAAGCGAUACUAACGUGCAAAUUGUUCGCCAAACUUGGGUGUAGGGGCGAUAGACCAAUCGAACCAUCUAGUAGCUGGUUCCCUC